rnacentral:rRNA from 1 species
GAUCCUGGCUCAGGACGAACGCUGGCGGCGUGCUUAACACAUGCAAGUCGAACGGGGCGCUUAUGAUGGAGAUUUCGGUCAACGGAUUAAGUUGCCUAGUGGCGGACGGGUGAGUAACGCGUGAGUAACCUGCCUUUCAGAGGGGGACGAACAGUUGGAAACGACUGCUAAUACCGCAUAAUAUAUAUGGACCGCAUGAUCUGUGUAUCAAAGAUUUAUCGCUGAAAGAUGGACUCGCG